rnacentral:rRNA from 1 species
AGUUUGCUUGCAAACUGGAGAUGGCGACCGGCGCACGGGUGAGUAACGCGUAUCCAACCUGCCGAUAACUCGGGGAUAGCCUUUCGAAAGAAAGAUUAAUACCCGAUAGUAUAAUUAGACCGCAUGGUCUUAUUAUUAAAGAAUUUCGGUUAUCGAUGGGGAUGCGUUCCAUUAGGCAGUUGGUGAGGUAACGGCUCACCAAACCUUCGAUGGAUAGGGGUUCUGAGAGGAAGGUCCCCCACAUUGGAACUGAGACACGGUCCAAACUCCUACGGGAGGCAGCAGUGAGGAAUAUUGAUCAAUGGGCGCAGGCCUGAACCAGCCAAGUAGCGUGAAGGAUGACUGCCCUAUGGGUUGUAAACUUCUUUUAUAUGGGAAUAAAGUUUUCCACGUGUGGAAUUUUGUAUGUACCAUAUGAAUAAGGAUCGGCUAACUCCGUGCCAGCAGCCGCGGUAAUACGGAGGAUCCGAGCGUUAUCCGGAUUUAUUGGGUUUAAAGGGAGCGUAGGUGGACAGUUAAGUCAGUUGUGAAAGUUUGCGGCUCAACCGUAAAAUUGCAGUUGAUACUGGCUGUCUUGAGUACAGUAGAGGUGGGCGGAAUUCGUGGUGUAGCGGUGAAA